ensembl:lncRNA
CUGGGACACGUGAGUCAGCCCAGCCAUUUGGCCACUUCCCAUCAGGGAACAUCACCAGGGCCCAGAGGACACACAAGGAUAUAUUUUUAAUUCCUGACUAUCGCUCCGCCAGCAGUGCUUUCCUCGGCAGAUGGACAGGUGCCCACACCUUGGAGCUCGAUAUGACAUGCAUAAGGCUGCCAAUGCCAAUUCCACGUACCGUCCGCAGAUGCUCACAGCCUACCAGUGCACGCUCUGCUCCUGGGAGAGAAAACUGAUGUUUUCGAUACAACACAGCCUCUCCUCUGCAGGAUACAGCUCUUUGCAUAUAUCUGCUAACAACAUCUUGGUAUUUCUCCACCCCCUCCCACCGUUCCUCGUUUUUGUCGAACUCACCAGCAUUUGUUCUGGGAUCUAAUUAAGGUCCCUUAUCACCAUGGCAAGAGGGGGGCAAGGGCUAACAAAACAGCAUUAAUGAACUGAUUGUUUUCACUGGGCACAUACACUGUUAUAAUCCUUAAGAACAGUACAUAUCUACAUUUGGAAAAAAAUAAUCAGAUGAAGUCUGUGUUGUUUACAUUUUUACAAGAGCUUAACUAGAAGCCCAUGUAAAACUGGCAUAAUCCAACAGCAACCAAGAACUUAUUUUAAAGGGAGAUUUAUGCUGGUUAGGACAGACAACUUCAUCUCAUUUUCUCCUCCACACACAUGCAGAAGUCUUGUGCCUACCAUUUGACCCUCCUUCGAAGAGAUGAGCUUCCCAUAAACUUCAUUAGUUAGAUGCAGUUUUUAUAGAUAAUUCAGAACCUCUUCCCACCUUUCUGGGUUAUUAAAUCUAUUAGCAGCCCAGGAUAACAUUAUGUAAGUACUGUUCAUCGCCAUUAUGCAGUAGAAUUAGAAGAGAGCUGUUAGAACCAAGUUUGCCUUGUUUCCAUCUCAUCCUCUAUAUGAACUCAGACAUCGGAAGCAAAAUCACCUACAUGGGGCACUGCCUUUGAUAAUGGAGACAGAGACGAGAAGGAGGAGAGACCAGGAGGAGAACAAGUCCAUAAGGGAGGAUGAUACACCUAUUUCAGGAAAUCACUCCUGGCCAGCAGUAAUGCUCAGAAAGAUCUCUCUACCUUUUACUGGAACAGAAAGCUUCAGAAGAAUAGCAUGAACCUUUUAAUUAAGCAUGAUAGUUCCUCUGUGACAUAUAAAAGGAGAGAAAGUUCUGCUCACAAAACCUCAAAAACUGCCAUAUUUUUCAGCACUUAAGAAGAUGCAAUGCAAAACGUGCAGGGUUUGCUUUAUUCAAGAGCUGAACAGUUGGCUGGUCCAAAAGGCUUUAGCUGAAGCUGCGCUGGAGCCACACAUCCUUGCAGAAGGGGCCUGCUGCCAGCAUGGUCGCAGUAACACUUUGCAUAUGAAACACAAACUUACUUACACUCACUGCUUCAAAGUACAGGUCCAGACCCAUCUUCUGUCCUGCCUGCUUGUCAAACACUGUCCUGCACAGUUCAGCCUGCCCUCUAGCCAGCCAAUCAUCUCCUGGUGGAAAUGGGCUCUUCUGCUGCACACUCAGCUGAGCAUUGAACACUGCAAAUAACGCUCGUCACGGCUUGUUUGUUCGCUCAUCCUCUCUGCAGGAGCAAAGCAUCUGCAAUGGCUGUGAUGGAUUUUAAUAAAUGCACGUUUGCUCUCAGUGUGGCACAAGACCACAAUGUAUGACCGAUACAAACAAAUGCAAUUCUACAUGUCAAUGCGUGUUCACAAGAGAAGCAGCCCUCGCACCACACCAGAGUUAGUUGGGUAGUUGUCUGCACAACCCAGGACUUUGCGACCCAGCAUGUGGCACUGCUGCCCUGGAGCCAACAGGACCAAAAGACCAACACGAGGUGACUGCUGAGCAUGUGAGAUGGGUGCAUGGCAACACACAAAGGGACCGUAACACCAAGGAUGGCCAUGAGAUUCAGAAGAAGGCAAUUGCUCUCCAAACGCUGAUUUCAGAAUCAAGUUCUCCACAAACUGAAACCUACUUGGCAUUGACAAACACCACACAAUUAUAACUUGGGCCUCCUGAUUUUAUCUAGCCAAUGAAAUUCAAAAUCCAGGAGCCCUGUGCUCACCGCCGAUACAUUCAGAAAACAACAUGCUGUAAUAUGAAUGCAAUAAACAGACCAGUGAUGAGCAUCGCUCGUCUCUGACAACUGACUGUGCUGAUGAAUAACACUUCAGACAGAUUAGAUCGCCCACUAACUACAACCACCAUCUUCCUAUGUCCAGAAGCCAUGUGCUUCUCCAAUUAAUUGCUCAAAACUAAUUGCCAGAUGUAAUUUUGAGCCGGCAGUGUCUUCGUGCCUUCCUCCUCCCUGAUCUAUUCCCUUCACAGGCAGCCCCGUGCCCAGUAGCCUUCCCCAUUCCUUGUGCUCAGGCAUGAUGUCCCAGACCUGACCUCCCCAUGCAGCUUUGGAGCAGAUCUCUUCCAGGCAGCUGACAUUUAAAUAACUUCUGUAUUGACUUUCCUCUGCAGCAUCUCGAGCCCUUCUUGUUUUCCUUGUGUCCAUAUUCCAAUUCAGCUCUGUGCAGCUAUGGCAGAGGAUAUCGGAACAGAGCCUGACUGGUAAUCAAUGAACACCUCCACGCUGCAGCUCCUCGGACACACAGCACAGGAGAUUCUGCUCUCUUUGUGCACACAUUCAAUGUUUUGGAUAAACUUAGAGAAGCAGGAGAAGGUUCUUCCCAAACCUGCAGCAUGUUUCAGACACCGCUAAGCCUGUGAACUUUCCUUUAACUCGCAUUAAACCGAUACAACUUUUAAUUAAAAAAGUAAUUUUGAAAAAUUGCUUGUGCGGUGCAUAAGGUGAUGUUCAGACAGCAUCACUGAUCCCCAGAGUUCUGCAGCCUUGAGUUUAAUAAACUGAAUUUUCAAAAGUAAACACAGCUUGCAUCAGCACGAGCCUUCUGCUUUGGGCCCAGAUUCUUCAUCCGUGUUGCACUGGCCCUCAGAGCCAGACCCAACCCCACGUCCCUGCUGCACCUCUGGCCAAUGGAACAUGCUCUCUGGGUAGAAGCCAAUCCAAAAUACCCUCAGGUUUCCCUCUGUACAGCUUUGGUAACUGUUCACCUGUUCUGCUUGCAAGGGUUGUUAAAUAAGUCAUUUCACUUCUCUGCCAUGCCAGCAAGGCUCUGUUUCUCCCUGGGCUGGCUGGCUCCUUGACACAGCCCCAAGAGGUGGGCCAUGGAGCAGCAGCACUGUGCUGACCCCAAACACUGGGAGCUCGCUUAUUAAUUCA